CCAUCCGCCACCGAAAACCUCUCCACUCCUCUCGAACCUUUCCGAGGCGGCGAAAUCCCACUGCCCGCGCCGCCCCGCCUCCUCCCUCCGCCACGCGGCCCCUCUCUCCUCCCGGAUCUGCGCCGGUGCCCGCGCGCGCGCGGAUGGCGAGCCCGGCGCGGCCGCGGGCUGGAGGUGCAAGACGUACAGUCAUUUUGGUUGGGGGAGGUCAGUUCUGCGGCCGCGUUGGACGGGGCCGGAUUGGCGAGGGCGGAGGCGGUGGGCGAACUGCGAACCACAUUCCCCAAGCGCGCCGCCGCCGGCGCGCGUGAAGGAGUAGGAGCAAGCGGAUGGGCGGCCGCCGGCCGGUGGAUCGAUCCUACAGGUUCAGGUUGUGAAGCACACCUGCUCUCGGCAUGAAAUCCAACAGGAGUCAAAUUUCUUCUGAUUAUUAGAGGGGAAGCAUCGAGGUUCAUGCAUUUCUGUUGCAGAAGGAACAGCAAGAUGUUAUAGAGCUUACUAUAAUGUAUGCACUAAUGCACAUGUAGAGCCGAAGAGGCUUGAUGCUGAGGUCAAUCGAUCCUUGAGCAUUGGAUACUUACUCGUUCAUAUAUUUCCUCGGUGGAAAUUGUCGACACAACCAAAGUACGGAUAGCAGACCUCGACGAUGCUCAAGAGCCAAACGCCAGAAGAAGAGAGCUAGGUGUAGCCAAGGACAGACUUGCCGGCUAACUCCAAGGUUCAGCAAAGCUGAGAUUCUCCCAAUACCAGGAGCCGGCAAGUCAUCCUUGGCUGCAUCCCGUUCUCCGCUUCACAGCGCAUGGCAACCCAGCAGAAGCUUCCUCACUACUACUGCAUAUACAGGUUCUAACAUAGAGUCAAACGACGUAGUACUUACGAGUUGACGAGGAAAGCUGCUCAACUCCAUGCAUAGCAAAACCAAAAUCGGUGAAGUCGAUCUGCUCCUGAAGAUUGAAUGCUGGUGAGUUUGUGAGGCUUGAGCUAAGCACCAGGGUCGGGUUCUGCGUCACUACGGCCGGCAAGUUCAUGUUCUUCGCUCCUUUGAUCGUCGCGACUUGGGAAUUGGAUUCUCUCAUAGGCGGACGUACAGGCCAUCCAGUCCAUCCAAAUUGGUGGAUGCGACGCUGCUCGACAUUCUCGUCUAUGGUGAGCUAGCUAAAGCGGUUCGGCGUUAGAAGGCUUUUCCCCGGUGCCUUUCCGGUGGCCUUUCUACGAGACCUUGACACGUCGACCGGCAGAGUGGUAUCAUGGCACGACAAAAAAAUAAAAAAAUAAAAAGGGUGAGCAAAAGGUACUUCGUCCAGUAGCCUACGUACGUGUCCUCCUGUGGCUCCCACCGACGGCAUCCUUUCGAGCUUAGGGUAGACACUUUGGAGAGGCUAUGUAACAUUAUAGAUUUAGGGCGAUCAAUGAUAAUAUUUAGCUCUAAAAUUCAUAUUACUCUGUCCUCCUAAGUAUAGCUGUCACUAUAAAUCUAAACGGGUUUAGUAUCUAUAUUUGUAGUACCAGAAAUGACCAAAUCGUAUAUUAGAUAGCUCUACUUUAGAAUGGAAGAAGUAUCUUUACACCUUAUAAAUAAGGUUAUAACACAUAAUUGAGACCAUAUGUUUAUCUUAGGUUGGGUGUAGUCUGUCUAUAAAAGUAACCAGUUUUGUUCUCUUAGGGCACGUUUAAAGGGUUCUUAUUGUUGUCUCUAU